rnacentral:rRNA from 1 species
AGUGAACGCUGGCGGUAGGCCUAACACAUGCAAGUCGAACGGCAGCACAGUAAGAGCUUGCUCUUACGGGUGGCGAGUGGCGGACGGGUGAGGAAUACAUCGGAAUCUACUUUUUCGUGGGGGAUAACGUAGGGAAACUUACGCUAAUACCGCAUACGACCUACGGGUGAAAGCAGGGGAUCUUCGGACCUUGCGCGAUUGAAUGAGCCGAUGUCGGAUUAGCUAGUUGGCGGGGUAAAGGCCCACCAAGGCGACGAUCCGUAGCUGGUCUGAGAGGAUGGUCGGCCACACUGGAACUGAGACACGGUCCAGACUACUACGGGAGGCAGCAGUGGGGAAUAUUAGACAAUGGGCGCAAGCCUGAUCCAGCCAUACCGCGUGGGUGAAGAAGGCCUUCGGGUUGUAAAGCCCUUUUGUUGGGAAAGAAAAGCAGCAGGUUAAUACCCCGCUGUUCUGACGGUACCCAAAGAAUAAGCACCGGCUAACUUCGUG